AGGCUUUUCACUGCGAGUGAGCAGACUGAAACUGAUAAGACAGCCCCAGCCAACCCCUUGUGCUUCUCACUGCGAAUAUUACUUCAUACUUCUCGCUUUCUUUAUUUAACUCAAGCAAAGGGGGCAUUUUUUUAAUCCCUGGGAGGGUUUGCAUACCUUCAAUGUUUUGUGUCUAGUCAGGAUUUUUUUUUUUCAUUAAGAAAUAUCCUUCUGAGCCUCUAUUUAAAAUAUUGGAAUGUGCAGCUUUUGGCCGGUGAGGAUUUGAGAUUAGCAAGGACCUGCUAAUUGCAGGUUUCUCGGCUGUGCAUUUUUCCAGGGCUCAGAAAAGGGGAAAAACUGACAGAGGGUGAAGCCUGGAGUGAGCGUGAAGUCUGAAGGGCUUGGCUGCUAUCAGGAGGUGUAUGUUGUUCUCUCUCUCUUGAGACAGUAUAGGAGAUGCAGUAGCUUGGAAGUCACAUUGAGACAUCCCCUAGCUUCAGAACGGUUUUGCAGAGAAGAUCAGGGAAACUGGGCCAAGGACCUAAAAUCAGCAGGCUACAGAUCCAGGAUAGAAGAACCACUCUGACACACCCUCUGAAGUGAGUGCCUGGUUCAACACUGGCAUCCCAGAUGAACAGGGAGUACAAAGGUCUGUCAGGUAGAGCUGUGUGGUGACAGCACCUCCUCAGCAAGCAUUAAGCAAACACUGGAGUCCUCGGUGCCCUUGAGGUCUGCCUAUUGAAACUCAACCCACUUGAGAAAAUCAGUCUGAAAGCGCAGGACCUCAGUCUCCUCUCCUGAAAUCCGCCAGCCAA